AAUCUAUAUCUAAUACCAGGUUGAGAUAUUAAGUAUUUUCCAAAGUGUUUGGGACGGAGUUCUGAGCACGCUGCUGUCGCCAAGUCCACCAUCUUCCUCUCAGUAACUACUGAACAGACCGGCAGCCGGGGUUGCCAGAGUACUCUACCAUGAAGACGUCCAGUCUUACGUUGGUGUUGCAUUGCUGGAGUGUAGUAGUUGGUGGGGACGAAGGGCAUCUUGCUGACGGUGGCGGGCACCGCUUUCUUCCGGACCUCCACCUGGAUGGCUGUACCGUUCUUAGCGAACGCAGCGUCCACGUAACCCAUGGCGACGUUCUUCUUCAGGCAGGGG